GAUCCUGGCUCAGGAUGAACGCUAGCUACAGGCUUAACACAUGCAAGUCGAGGGGCAGCGGGAAGUCAGCUUGCUGACUUUGCCGGCGACCGGCGCACGGGUGAGUAAUACGUAUCCAACCUUCCCGUUACUCUGGAAUAGCCUUUCGAAAGAAAGAUUAAUACCGGAUAGUAUCGAGAGAUUGCAUGAUUACCCGAUUAAAGAUUCAUUGGUAACGGAUGGGGAUGCGUUCCAUUAGGCAGUUGGG
rnacentral:rRNA from 1 species